UGCGUAGGCGGAUUAUUAAGUCAGUGGUGAAAGUUUACGGCUCAACCGUAAAAGUGCCAUUGAUACUGGUAGUCUUGAGUACAGUAGAGGUAGGCGGAAUUUAUGGUGUAGCGGUGAAAUGCAUAGAUACCAUAAAGAACACCGAUAGCGAAGGCAGCUUACUAUACUGAGACUGACGCUGAGGCACGAAAGCGUGGGGAGCGAACAGGAUUAGAUACCCUGGUAGUCC
rnacentral:rRNA from 1 species